GUCCUGCUCCACAUGUAGCUAGAUCAUGCACCAGUGCAGGGGUAGCGGGGCGUAGUUGUGCAGGGCUGAGGUACCCACCUCCCACCCUGCCGUGUGCUCAUCUUUGAAACGUCGGUGCUUUGUGCCAAAGACCCUUGCGCUAUUGGGGCGUGAAUACUUUGCAGGGUAAAACGAGCAUGUAUCUGCAUCAGACGGCUUCGGGGUUGGAAACGUUGGCGCCGGGUGUCUCAGCGGGGGCUGAACUUCCCCACGGGAGAGUGGUCAGGAACUCCAGCGGGCCGCCUGACCGUGGCAAUCGCGUUGUGACGUGGGGUAAAGCUGAUGUUUUGGGUCCCCAGGGUGAUUUCACGAUGCCAAUGCUGGCCUUCUGAUACAGCUGUGCAUAACAACCACAUAAAUGUCUGAUUCCUCCUUGCUGGAUAAGAAGUAGAUGGCAGAUUUUUGUGUCCAAUACUACCAUUUCCAACAUCACCACAGCACUACCAUUUCUACCAGUCAGUCCACUGGUUGCAACAGAGUUAUGCUUGCUUUACAGCUGUCAAAACCAGAAAAGAAGCAUGUGCAAUUUGGGGGCAAAAAAAGCAUACAUAUCAUUCUGCAAAAUGGCAGCAGCAUGCAACAGCAUGGACAACAUCUGGACAGCUUUGAAAUGAAAGAAGGAAAAAGAUGAAUGCAAAGGCACCAUGGCUGAACUUUUCCCCAACUUAUGAGAAACAAGGGUUUGAGUCCAUGUAUCCUUAUAUUCUAGAUGUCUCAAGCCAACAAGGAAAAUAAAACACUCAUGCCCACAAAGACUGAAAAUUUAUUUCCCCAACAA